GCGAGAAAACUUUGCAAUGUGCGAAAGCACGACAAGGUUAAUCCGAGUGGUUUCUGCUAAAGAAACCUUUUGUCAGUCCUAGAAACACUAACGAAUAAGGGGUGGGCAAGUUCUGGUGUCAGCCGCCGCGGUAAAACCAGCACCUCAAGUGGUCAGGAUGAUUAUUGGGCCUAAAGCAUCCGUAGCCCGUUUUGUAAGUUUUCGGUUAAAUCCAUGCGCUUAACGUAUGGGCUGCCGGGAAUACUGUAUAACUAGGAAGUGGGAGAGGUAGACGGUACUCGGUAGGAAGGGGUAAAAUCCUUUGAUCUAUUGAUGACCACCUGUGGCGAAGGCGGUCUACCAGAACACGUUCGACGGUGAGGGAUGAAAGCUGGGGGAGCAAACCGGAUUAGAUACCCACGUAGUCCCUGAGCGGGCUGGCAAGGCGCAU
rnacentral:rRNA from 1 species